rnacentral:rRNA from 1 species
UGGCGAACGGGUGAGUAACACGUGGGUGAUCUGCCCUGCACUUCGGGAUAAGCUUGGGAAACUGGGUCUAAUACCGGAUAGGACCAUCGUUUAGUGUCGGUGGUGGAAAGUUUUUUCGGUGUGGGAUGAGCUCGCGGCCUAUCAGCUUGUUGGUGGGGUAAUGGCCUACCAAGGCGUCGACGGGUAGCCGGCCUGAGAGGGUGUACGGCCACAUUGGGACUGAGAUACGGCCCAG